UACGUAGGGUGCGAGCGUUAAUCGGAAUUACUGGGCGUAAAGCGUGCGCAGGCGGUUUUGUAAGCCAGGUGUGAAAUCCCCGGGCUCAACCUGGGAAUGGCAUUUGGGACUGCAAGGCUGGAGUGCGGCAGAGGAGACUGGAAUUCCUGGUGUAGCAGUGAAAUGCGUAGAUAUCAGGAGGAAUACCGAUGGCGAAGGCAGGUCUCUGGGCUGACACUGACGCUCAUGCACGAAAGCGUGGGGAGCAAACAGG
rnacentral:rRNA from 1 species